CGUUGGCCGUCGGACGGGCAGAACCGAGGGGAGGGCGGGAGCGAAUCUCAAAAAGCCUGGACGUUUUGCCCGCUUCCGGCGACAGAAAUUGUCGGGUUCAGUGGGGGUUUAAAAUCAGAAGUUCCUUCUGGGGCCGCUGUGACCCGUGUACUUUGGGGUCUAAGGAGAGGACUCCGUGUUUCCCACGACCUCCGGGCACCCUCGCGGAGCUAUGCUUGUCUGGAAGACCCAGAAGGUGAGUUGCCAUCUAGGAUGCCCAGGGUUCUUUCCACGCCUUCUCAGAUGCCCUGGACGCCACCCACUUCAAUCAGCUCCUGUGGGCCUCAUAUUUUGCAGAUGGCUCUGGGCUGUGACCUCAAGGAGAAUGGCAACUUCAAGAGCUUCUGGAAAUACAGCUACGAGGGACAGGACUACCUCACAUUCCAGCCAGCAACACUCUGCUGGAAGGCUGAUGCUCCUGAGGCCCAAAGCAUGGCACAGAGUUUGAAGAAGGAUAGAGACUUGGCCCAGCACCAUGGUGCCUUUAUCAAUGGUGACUGUCAGCACUAUCUUCAGAAGUACCCAGGA
rnacentral:lncRNA from 1 species